rnacentral:rRNA from 1 species
UACGUAGGGGGCAAGCGUUGUCCGGAAUUAUUGGGCGUAAAGAGCGUGUAGGCGGCCAGAUAAGUCCGCUGUGAAAUCUCGAGGCUCAACUUCGAGCUGUCGGUGGAAACUAUCUGGCUAGAGUCCGGAAGAGGAGAAUGGAAUUCCUGGUGUAGCGUGAAGUGAACGUCGUAGAGUCGAAGACGACAAGGAGGCACGAA